rnacentral:lncRNA from 1 species
UGAAAACGUCUGGACAAUUGCAACGAGUCUAUUGCUCCCACAUUCAUCAUCGGAGCAGAGGUUUCUGCAGAGGUGUUGCCUCUGUUCCCACUGGCCCAUCAAGAGACUCCUCUCUGCUGUCAACUUGUCCCUGAUAAUGGUCAUUCCAGAUAACCCUUGAUGUAAGCAUCCUUUACUUUUGGUGGCCUUCCUGACUCUGGCCUGGGCUGGGAUCUCACAGC